rnacentral:rRNA from 1 species
CCAGACUCCUACGGGAGGCAGCAAUGAGGAAUAUUGGUCAAUGGACGAGAGUCUGAACCAGCCAAGUGGCGUGAAGGAUGACUGCCCUAUGGGUUGUAAACUUCUUUUAUAUGGGAAUAAAACAGGGUAUGCAUACCCUCUUGUAUGUACCAUAUGAAUAAGGAUCGGCUAACUCCGUGCCAGCAGCCGCGGUAAUACGGAGGAUCCGAGCGUUAUCCGGAUUUAUUGGGUUUAAAGGGUGCGUAGGCGGAAUAUCAGGUCAGCGGUAAAAAUUCGGGGCUCAACCCCGUCGUGCCGUUGAAACUGAUGUUCUUGAGUGGGCGAGAAGUAUGCGGAAUGCGUGGUGUAGCGGUGAAAUGCAUAGAUAUCACGCAGAACUCCGAUUGCGAAGGCAGCAUACCGGCGCCCAACUGACGCUGAAGCACGAAAGCGUGGGUAUCGAACAGGAUUAGAUACCCGGGUAGC